rnacentral:rRNA from 1 species
UACGGAGGGGGCUAGCGUUGUUCGGAAUUACUGGGCGUAAAGCGCACGUAGGCGGAUUUGUAAGUCAGGGGUGAAAUCCCGGGGCUCAACCUCGGAACUGCCUUUGAUACUGCAAAUCUCGAGUCCGGAAGAGGUGAGUGGAAUUCCUAGUGUAGAGGUGAAAUUCGUAGAUAUUAGGAAGAACACCAGUGGCGAAGGCGGCUCACUGGUCCGGUACUGACGCUGAGGUGCGAAAGCGUAGGGAGCAAACAGG